ensembl:piRNA 21ur-425 ncRNA
UCACUAAGGCGAUUAGGUGAA